rnacentral:tRNA from 1 species
GUGGGUAUAGCGUAGUUGGUUAACGCGUCAGAUUGUGGCUCUGAAGACCCAGGGUUCGAGUCCCUGUACCCACC